rnacentral:rRNA from 1 species
UACGUAGGGUGCGAGCGUUUAUCCGGAAUUACUGGGCGUAAAGAGCUCGUAGGUGGUUUGUCGCGUUGUCCGUGAAAACUCACAACUCAAUUGUGGGCGUGCGGGCGAUACGGGCAGACUGGAGUACUGCAGGGGAGACUGGAAUUCCUGGUGUAGCGGUGGAAUGCGCAGAUAUCAGGAGGAACACCGGUGGCGAAGGCGGGUCUCUGGGCAGUAACUGACGCUGAGGAGCGAAAGCGUGGGGAGCGAACAGG